GGGCCUGGAGCUCGGUGGCAGAGCAGCGGAACGUGACUCCGAAGGCCACGGGUUCGAAUCCCGUCAGGCCCC
rnacentral:tRNA from 1 species